UGAGUGGCUCAGCCUCCAGUAACAGUGCAUGAUGGGGCGGCAAGGCAGGCCCUGGAGAGCCUCACUGGCAGCCAGGCCUGAGUUCCGGAGUGGACCGAUGCACAGAAGAGACGCUGGGCCUGACAGCCUGCUGCCGCUCUGCUGUCUGCUACCCCUGCUCAUUGCUGUCUUCUUGCCUUCAGCAGCUCUGGAACCAGGCUGGUGAGAAGGCUUCUCUUUACAAAAUGGAAUGCUGACCAAGCCUGGCAAUUUGGAAACAGGAAAUGCAGGCACUACUUCGAAGUUACUGGUGUCACUGCCAGGCAAGCAGGCCUGCCCUGCCAGCUGUGAGUGGGAAUCAGGGCUUCUUCACCAGCCACAUGCGGUUCUUCCAGGCAGGGACAGUACCUGGUAAGAGUGUGCCACCACCUCAUGCACAGUGCUCACACAUGUGCUCAUGGACCUGCAUGUACAUAUGCACACAUUCAACCUGGGUACACACAUGAUCUGUGCACAUAUUCUGAGUGCCCAUGUGCACACGUGUGUAUAUACAUAAGUGUGUCCACCACACACACAUAUGCCUGUGUCCUGCAUGCACACAGCUUCACACAGACAAAUGUGUGUGCAUACUCAUUCCUUUUAUGUCACACACAUGUGUACAUGCACAUGUUCUUCCGCGCUGCACACAUGUCAUAAACACACCCCACACUCCGGCAGGGAAGAGCCCUCCACCUCUUUGCUGAGCACAAGAGUUUUAUUUGCAGUUUUCAAACAGAAUUCAAGGCUCAGAGUGGCCUUCCACACUGCUCUGUAUGUGGCUGUGCACGAGACCCUCAGGGAAAGACUUACAAACAUCCAACUCACACAUAUCCCCUGUGACACUCAGUCUCUGACUCACUCCGUGCUCCCACAUUUGGAAGUAGAGGGGCCAGGGAUGCCCAUCUGUACCCACUACCCUGCACCAGCAUGUCAUAGUCUAGUGCCUCCUUCAAAAGGCGCGUGGACGCCCAGUGCUCUCCCCCAUGGUGCCUGGCCCACACCUCUGCCUGGAGGCCCAGUAGCAGCUGUGCUGCCAACAACGCUCCGACUAUGCUUGGAGCUGGCCAGCCACCCCGAGAAGCCCUCAGUGAUGAGACGCAACCAGACAGGCGCAAGGAACAGCCCUGCAGUCAUGUAAAAUGCAAGAGAAACUCUGUGCCCAUGCUGCUGCCAGCAGGACACGGCCCAGCCCCCCCGUCUGGGGGCCGUUUAACCCAGGCCCUGCGCAACGAGAUCCUCAUUUAAAGGAAGCCAACAGCUUAGCAUGUUCUUUGAGAGGCAUCAUGUGGAGGGGGCGUGGAGAACCUCAAGGUCAUGUGGCCUCUGAGAACCAAUCUCACCCAGCACCCAGAUGGAUGCUUCCAGAUGAGUCAGGCCGUGGGAAGAGAACAGGCGUUUUUCUGCAGUCAGCUAGCAGCCUGGGGCAGCCCAGAGUAUGAUUGACCUGGAGAGAAAUCGUGCAUCUGCCAGCUGGCGAGCCGUGGGCUGCCCUGCAAAUCCCACACACGGGUCACCGACACAGGCCAUGGUGCCCUCUGCCUGAGUGGGGGAGUGGGGUGCUGCCUGCUUCCUGUGCAUCUCCCACAGAGCACCAGGUAGAGAUGGGAGAGACAAAAGCAUUGGGGACGUGCAGAGAAACCUCAGGCUUGGCUUGAACUAGCUGAGUGACUUUGGAUGAGCCUCCAAGCUUCUCUCCCGCAUAAGGGAAUCACUUAGCAUGGCGGAUAGCUAGCUUGCUUCAACAGCGCUGGAAACCCUGAGGCAAGAGCAAAUGGACCACCCCCUCCCCUCCCACAAAACCUCCUUGAGACAGAGGAGUUGGGCAACCAUCAGAUCUUCAGGAGAUACUGCGCAGCAGAGGGCCCUCACUCAGAGAAGGAACCCAGGCAGGAGAGCUGAGAGACUCCAUCAGACUCCCUCCCACAGGCGUCCCUGGAACUGCAGAACCAGAAGAGAGUGUAUGAGCAAAGUAGACACAGAAAUAAUGGCCAAGAACUUACUGACAUCUAUGACAUGGUAUCCUAGUUAACUUUAACUGUCAGCUUGACACAGCCUAGAGUCAGUCUCAUUUGAGGGAUUGUCCUGCUCAGAAUGGCCUAUGACAUGUCUGGGAUGGAUUGCCUUGGUUGUUAAUUGAUGUUGCCCACUGUGGGAGCACCAUUCCCUUGACAGUCGAUUUUGAGCUAUUUAAGAAUGUUAGCUAAGUACGAGUGGUUAUGUGCUGCCUGACCUGGUUCUGGGAACUGAACCCAGGUCCUCUGUAAGAACAGCAAGUGCUCUUAACCACUGAUCAUCUCUCCAGCCCCAUUAAAAAUAUGUGUUAAGGUAUUUUAUCACUGUGGCAUGGCUGGGGACUGUCUGUCUCUUGCACAUUGCCUUUUACCUAUUGCUACACAAACAGGAAUGGCUUCCUCAGCCUGGACUCCAGGAUGAGCCAGUGCUAUUGGAAUGAACCCAGUGGAGGAUGUAGGGACACCACCAUUCCCCUGGCCUGUGGUGAUAUCUUGUUUGUACAAAUAAAGCAUGUCUGAAGAUCAGAGGGUGGAGAUUGCCACUAACUAACCAUAGGGGUCUGGAGGUGUGUAAAGAGACAGGAAAUGAGAUGGCUGGUGGAGAAAGGAACGUGGGCUGGAGGAAACAGGGACUUGCUCUCUUUUCUGCUGGAAAGCUAUUGAGAUAAAGGUGGCUUUGGCUUGCUCCUUCUCUCUGAUCUCUCAGCAUUUUCCCCUA